GGCGGGAAGGGCUCGCGCCCGCUUCUCCUUCGUCAGCGCGUUGCCGGGCGUUGCCGAGCUGAGCUGGCGGCAAAGGCUUCUUCUCUGUACCUCAGAAGUAAGAACCUCAGGCUGCCUGAAUGAAGUUUCCCUUAUAAGAGUACUCCAGUGCUAAUGAUGACAACAGUGAAGGAACCAGCAAUUCAAUACUGGAGGGUGCUGCGGAGGGAACAUUGACAUAAGGGCAGGCAGCACUCAGCUCCCAGACCUGCACUGUGAUCCAUCUGUCCUGCAGAGAACUGGCUCUGCUUCUUACAAGUGCCACAUAACACCUGGAGGGCUAUGGUGGCAUUCACUCAAACCCCAUCUGGUCAAGGAAGAAACGGCAUAUUCUCCUUAGUGCUGCUCUCUCCACACCUUUAUGUCAGACCACUUCUGUGCCAGGGUCUGCCAGCUCAGUACUCAUUAUCCACAUAAGGGAGAGUAGAGCAGGGCCCAAACAGGAGAGGCUCUGGAUGUGACCAUCAUGCAGAUCGUUUCAUGGUGACCCAGCGGGAGAACCAAGGCCAGACUCAGAGGUUAGCAGUUCAUAACGGGUAAAGAGAAGUUUAAAUUUCUGAAUUAUAAAGUUGUAAAAAAGAUUCAAAGGGAAGUAAGGGCAUCCUCAGCCCACUCUUUGAUAGUACAAUACAUAAAAACCAGAUUUUGUAGGAGUAUAAUAAAAGAUUGUAUAGGAGUAUAAUAAAACCCAGACACAAGUCUGAAAAAUUCAUUAGUUUCUGCCAUGACUAAAAUAAGCACUGUCUAUGAAAACUACUUUGCAAUGGUAAUGAAAAGCAAGUGGAAAAGCAAGUGUUAGCACCAGUGCUGUGACGUGAAAUAAUUUCUGUAUACUCAGAUCUGUCAUUGUGAACAAUGUUGUUGAUUAUAAACUACAUCAAAUUCUCAGUCUCCCUCCCCCAAAACAUGUAUUUUAUUUUGCAGUUUUUGUGGUAAUUACGAAAUCAACAGAAUACUAUCUAGUUUUACCACAAUUAAGCUAAAUACAUACUUCUUAGAUGAUGUAAAAAAUACUUGGUAAUGGUAAUGUCUCCAUAACAGUAACUUCCACCCUAGAACAAGCGACAGUGUUUCUUAUGCGUUUUUAGGGGUGGCAUUUAAUGAUAAUGGUGAUUUUCAGCUUUCCCAAGAGUUUUACAAUUUAGCAGGUACUUGGAUGCAAUUUAUAAUCAAGAUUUGACCUGCAGAGCUUCAUUUAUUGUUACUCGAUAAGAGAAGCCUCCAAGAUUUGAAUGAAUCUCGUGGCCCUUUCAGCGUGCAUGAGUAUGAUGGAAGGGACGAUGACACAGACUUAUGGCACUGCAAGCAGCUCUCUGAAAACAGGUUUAUAUCCCAUCACUUGUGAGAUAGUGUUUGCUCGUAAAGCUGUUACCAUGUCAUUGUGCUGAAGACCUCUGGGCUCAAGGAAAUUGAGAUGCUUGUCCAAGGCACUCUGCGCAAGAGUGGCCGCGUGGUAUUUUGGUUCAACCACUGCUGCUUGCUCAGGACUGAAGGUCUGGGCAGGGUGUUGUGUCCAUGGUGGGCAUGGGGGCAACAGCGCAACAGCUAUAUGUCAGCACUGUUGUAGUUUUAGUUAGUGAUUGGUUACUGCUGGUCUGGCCACCACAACUGAGUGAAUACUCCAAAGUAUUGUUUACAGAGACUGAGGUAAAGACCCUGACUGUUCAGAAGAAAAGGUAAGACAAGCUUUAACCACUAACUUUACAUUUAUAUUUACUUCAGAAAAACAAAAAACAAUUAGAAAAAAGAAACACUGCAGUUUAAUAGAACCAGUGACACAAACAAAAUGUGGACUCGAGAACAGCAAGUGGCAACUAAGGUAAUGAUAGAACUGCUUCACAAAUAAUUCGCUGUUUAGAGCAUCUUACAGAGUGAGAUUGUAUCCUUUUGUUAUGCAAUAUAAAAUCAGAUAAGCAUUUGCUGUAACAAAAGUUAUUUACAGUCACAUAAUUUUGAACAACAAGCACAUGACCUUUGAAAUUAGAUUGGUUAAAGUUUUCCAAAAAGUUAAAAGUUAAAGUUUGACUGGCUUGAGUCAGUGGGAGAUUCCCUUCAACUUCAGUGGGGCUGUUGAAAAUCCUACCCUUCACUGAUUGUUUGUAGAUAGGGCUGAUGCUUCCUACCUCUUCUUAAAUAUGCUGUUUCAAUUCUAUUUGACCUUUCUUACCUGUAUGAUACCAUUUGACUGAGUAGUUUACUAUCUUAUUGAAUACUAACUUCAUCAUUUGCUUCAGUAAUUGCCUUUUUUAUAGGUUAGAUAUGGGCAAAGAUCAGACAAAGCAGAAACAGAUCCCAUCUACUUCAAAUACUGUCUGGCUAGCCAUAGUCAUAAGCUAUGUUCAGUUAGUAUUCAGAAUACUGCUGACUCCUUUCCUAUACCUUCAUAAAAAAGUAUGUCAUAAGGAUAUUAUAGUGAUCGUAUUUAAAAUUAUUUUUCUGUAUUGAAAUAGAGUUGACAAGUAAAGGAGUUUAUACUGAAGAAUUUAAGGUUUGGGUUUUAUAAAUGUAAUGGCACCGUAUUUUUUAAUGUUAAGCUAUAUUUGUUAUAUAAGCUAUAUAAGUUGAUAUAUUUUGGAGCAAGUGAAAAUGUUUGAAUUCCUUUCAGAAUGUAAAAUUGUCGCCAGAGUUUUAAAAGCAGCUCUUUGCAGGCCCAACACCUGGAAAAUAAAACUUUGGGAAAAGUAAAGGAAAAGGAACAUCAGUCUUUCCUCAAAGACUUCUAAGCAACAGUAAAGAAAAGCAAAAACAUUUAGACUUUCACUUUUUUAAUGCAGUCUGAAAGCACAACAGCGUUCUAGUUUGUCAAUUUACAUUUGUCUGUUGCCUUUUCCUGCUACCAUCAGCACAGUUAGAUGGUACGUGAAGUCCCUUGGGCGUGUUAUGGUGAAUAGAACCCUCAAAAACCUUUUAUUUUCUCUUCUCUUUACAAGACAGCGCAUUCUCUAUUCUCAAGAUCAUCUUCGUGAAAGUAUCCAUGGGAUGACUGCUGAAGAAACAAGAGGAACUAACAGAGAAAAGGUAAUUAUAAGAAAAAGUGAAUUGCUAGACAUAUGUGGAUGCAGAUUUAUUACACUGGAUGUGCAUUUUUCACUCUCUACGUGAGAUAGUUUCCUCAACUUAGCUACAAAGAAAACAUGGAAGGGAUUGAUUUUGUCUGUUAGAAGAUUUCUGCUUACACUGGACUCUGAGAUUAGUCUGUUGCUUUCCCUGGGUGGCUUCUUACUAUUGCCCUUCUACAUUGAGAGCUCCUCUGUCAUAUCUUGUGUGAUGUCCAGACACCUUCUCCAUAGAUCAAAGGUUGGCAGCCUGUUUUUUAAGCCUUUUUUUUUUCCAAUUACUUGCAUGUACAACAGGUGCUGAGGCUCAUUUGUUUUGUUUGUUUCUACCAUUUUGACCCUUCAGUGUAAAUAUGGCUAAGGUUUUAAACCAACUAGAGCAGCACUGAGUGCAGCAUAAGUUAAUCUCCUUGAUUUUUUUCGACAUUCUGAAUGGAUUUUGUAGCUUGAACUGUGCUCUGUGCUUCUGAAGACAGACUGCUACCAUUGCUGGAUGUGACUGCUUUACACAGUGUUUGCCUACAGCCCCAUUACGCAGCACUCACAAACUGUUGUAGAGACACAGGCUAAGAAAUGGCAUACCAUGAGUACAAAUACCCACGGUUAGGGUUAACAGCCUUUUUGAAGAUGCAUUGACCAGUUCGGGGGAGCUCUUUUCAGAGAUCUGCCUAAAACAAGUUUUGUGAUAGAAUUUAAAAGAAAAAAAAAAAAUCCAGCACCUCAAGUCUAUAGCACAAUACCCUCUUUCCUGUCUGCUUAUCUUCCUUUCCAUUGGCAUGAAGUUAAAGUAGAAACCCAGGCUCAGUGUCAUACAGCUUAAUAAAUUUUAUAGAAGAUACUGUUCGAGAAAAAUCUUAACUUACUGCGUCUUUUAGAUGAUUGACAAUUUAGGAAGUCAGAAUUUCAGGCUUUUAAGUCUUUCUCCAUUGAACAUAAUUAAACAUUAACCAAUUUUGCUAGUGUACCAUAAUUUUUAUAGGCUGCUUUAAAGCCCUGGUUUCUCUGCCAGGACAUAUGCUAGACAAGACUGCACUUUGCUUUGUUUGAAGAACCCAGGUACUGCAAGCCAAGGCUCCUGUGAUGAGUUUGUGCUCAUAAACACUGACCUGCUCACAAAGAGAAGGAAUAUUUGCCUGUUGCUUUCUGUAUUAAAAUACUAACUUGGACUACAGGAGCCUUCUUCUGCUCUGCCCCUCUCAAAGCUGGAUUUUUCUGUCCUGAGAGUCCCCACUGAGUCAGAGCAGAGACCUGGCCUGCCACACCCAACACCGUAUCCAUCCCAUGUAUGCUGUUUCCAUCCUUUGUAGUACUUUUUAGAAACAGCAAAGACAGGAGAGAAAAAAAAGAAAAACAGAGUCUCGAUGGGAAUAGUCCAGCUGCUUCAGUUUUGACCGACAACUUAAACUAAGUGUAGAUGUCAGUAUGAGGGGUAAGCUAGUGAGAAAUCAGCCCAUAUGUGCUCUUAGUCACCUGAAAGCAGUAGGGGUAGGUCUUGAAAAGUUGACUUUAAAAGAUUAUAACCAUAAGAAUGUGAUGGGUCCAAUACAUUUGUAUUUAGUGUGACCACAUAACUGUAAAAUAAAGGAAAUUCCUAAAGGAAAUGUUUUUGUCACAUAAACACUGAGCCACAGCAAACACAUCUGGCAAAGCUGAAGAUCCAGCUCCCUAGACUGAGCAUCAGAAUACCAUAAAUAAUGUCAAGAGGCAGAAAUGGGACUGUCAGAUACUGCUACUGUCAUUAUCCUAUUACACUGAAUAACCAUGAGCUUUACUUGUUUAUGGAAACUGUCAAUUGAUAUUUUAAUCUGUAAGUGAAGAAAACAUUACUAUUUUACUAUAUAAUCAUUGAAGCUAAUCUGUUUUCAGCAAGGUCAUUAUUUACACUACUUCCUUUGUAAUCCCUCACAUACACACACAGAAAAAGGCUCUGAAGCUUAAUCUUUCCAGUGCUGAAAAUGAGACUUUUAUGCAAACUGAUAAAAGUUCUUUGUUUGAUUUAUUUGUAAACCAAAAUAGUCUGGUAGUUUGCCUUGAAGUGAAAAGAAAAAAAAACAUGCUCUGUCAAAUCCCGUGCAUUCCUUUUUAUGUAUUUUGUCAUUUCCCCUCUAUUAACUCUGUCCUAAGGUAGAAAGAAGAGUCCACUCUAGCUUGUAUUUGCAUACUGUACUUUAGCUUUGACUUUCUAGGUUGAGCCUGUUAAAUUUAUUGACUGUAAGCCCCUUGAGCUAUUGAGGAGUGUGCAGCUUACAUUGUAUAUCUUUUGAAAGAUGAUUCUGGUAGCCCGUUAUCUCUCCAGAUACAAUUUGUCUUACAUAUUCAUGGGUUUUUAGUGCCAGGACCAGUUCCUUCGUUGUAGCUAUUGUUUGGAAUUCUUGCACAGAUAUUAAGGCUUAGUAAUUUUUCAGUGCUGCUCAAGGGAUCCGAGUGUCAAAUGGAAUAACGAGUGGGAGUUUGGGCAGUGAAAACCCCUAAGCAGCUGGCUUUGGAGAUCUUGGUAAAACAAUAAAGGACAAUAAUCUGAGAUGGCAUGAAAGAAACUUUGAGGUGUCUAGGAUAUUUUGUAUGUACAAAUAGAGCUGGCCAGCAUGUAAUACUUUCCAUUCAUUAGCAAUUACAUUUCAUUUUAAUUUCAAGAUUUUAUGCCUGAACGUCAGAGAAAAUUUCAUUUGAGAAACAUCAGCGCAGGGACCUGGGAAAACAAAAUAUGUUCCCCUUCCUGCUACAGCUGUUUUUCUUAGCAGUAGAGCUGACCAGAAUAUUGAUUUCAUUAGGAAAGGGCUUAAGGUGGAAGGAUCUGUAUUCAGGUUAAAGUCAGGGAUUUCAAGUCCUCAGUUUCAUAGGUGACACCAAAAGCCAUGGUUGCCCUCUGGCACUUUGAGGCCUCUGGCUCCCAGGGCUCACCCACAGGGUCUCUCCAGAGUGCAGGAAUAUGAAGUUUCAGAUGCCAUGAUUCUGGCUUCCCAGUCCUUCCCCAUGCCCUGACAGAGCAGGAUGAUUCAGAGCCUGAAUAGCUGCUGUUCUGCAAGGCAGACAUUGAUGUGUCGGUCAAUGCAGGCACAUUCUGCCUAGUUUUGGAGCUGACAAGGCUGGAUACCAUGAGCAGCACAGAUUUAAAAGUACAGAAGGCUGGGGACUGGGAAUCCUACCUAAGGACUUCCAGCUAUACAUAUCCCACCUGGUUAGCUUGAAAGUUAGCCAGAAUAUAUCUACAUCAGGAGCUAUCAUGCCAAAAUCUGUUGUGCAUCUGUGACAGAACUUGGGCUUCUAUUCAGAUCUUCUGCAUCCUGCUCCAGAUGUGAUUGCUCAUCAUUUGAUCUGAGAUAAAAAUAAGCAGCAGUGUACUCUCAUCUCCAGAAAGUGCAUACCAAAAGUCAAAUUCUCUUUCUGGGAAAGCUGUGAGAACAGCCCUGGAGCUGCAAGACAUGAACUUCACCUGAAGUGAGGCACAGGUCAGGUCUCUGACUGCUGGAGUCGGUGUUCCAUGCCACACUGCAAGACUGGUGUCAGACUUCCAGGUAUUCUGCCCCGAUGCUCGUCUCUUCAGAAUCAGGUUUUGCAAGGAGCAUCCGUGGCUUCAACAGGUACAGAAAAAAAAAGAUAAUUCAGUCAAUGUUUCAUUAUGGCAAACACUGCUAAUUUUAUUUUGACUUUCUGUGGAAAAACACAGGGAUGUGAUGGUGUUCCCAUUUACAGGUUUAAAUCUUUCAUGGCACCAGCAUCAACAUGAGGGAGAUCUUCCCUUACAAGCAAGCUAGGGUUGCCCAAAACAUUUGUAAUGACCUAAAAUGUGAACAAAGAAAGUCCCAUAUAAACACUGGGAAGAACUUCUUUACGAUAAGGCUGAUGGAGCACUGGAACAGGCUGCACAGAGGGGUGGUAGAAUCACUUUCUGUGGAGCUAUUCAAGACCUGUCUGGAUGCCUACCUGUGCUACCUAUUGCAGGGCACGUGCUCUAGAAGGGGGUUGGACUCGAUGAUUACCUCUUGAAGUCCCUUCCAAUCCCUGCAAUCCCGUGAUUCUGUGAUUUGCAAGGCAUUGGCUCACGUACAUAUCACCUUACAACUUUCACAAGCAGAGAAGUGGCAGCUCUUAACAAGGUUUAAAUUACAUUUACUCUCCAUAGAGAGGAUGUGUAGCAGAAGAGGGGUUUAUUUCUGACUUACAGUGUACAUGUCAAACAAAUACAAUUAUCUGAGUCAUUAUAGCCACCAUCAUCAUAAUUAGCUUAAGUGAAGCUGUUUUUAGCUUUCAUAUAGCCUCAAUUUGCUGCAAAGCAAAUCACCAAAAUAAAUCAAUAUUUUACAACCUAGCAAACACUGUAGAUUUUUACAAGCAAAAAUUAACAACAACAAUAAAGCACAAAAAGCCGCAUGCAAAAAUUCAAACUCAACACGCUGUGCCUGGGCAUUUCUGAAUGCAGCACAACUCCUUGCCUGGUUUCCCUGAGCUCACUGUGACAGUUUCCAACACCAGACACUUUCAUUGAAGCAAACAGGAAACAUGUAAAACCAAAUAAAUAAUGACACGAAAUGAAGCUUUGAUUAGGAGUCUGUGAAUAACGACCCUUUUCAACCAGUCAGUGUCUGAGACGUUUAACAUGCUUUACAUUUGGAAUGUAUCACGCAAGUUCCACCGAUUAGAUUUUUAUAUUGAGAGGAACACAUUUUAUUAGAGAGGGAGCUUGUCGGGGCUUGGUGCCAAUCGGCUUCAACUGGUUGUGCUGCAAACACAUCCAGCACCCUCAUCCUGAGGACUGCAAGAGGGAACAUGUUUCAUAUUUUCCUCUUUCCUGUUCUGCUCUACAAAUUCAUAAGAGGCAAACGCCAGUUCUCCCUUGGGUCCUAUAGGGAAAAAAAAAAGCCAAAAAAGCUUUUCCAUGUCAUGAGGAAUUCAUCCUUUUAUAAAGCUGAAAAUUGCUAUUAUGUUUGGAUGCAUUUGAACAAAAAUUACUGCAAUGAAGAAAGUAUUAAUUAGCUGCAUUUCUCAAGUGAUCACAGUAUUCAGUGCACUCAAAAAGUGGAAAAAAAGACAUUUUUAUGUAAGUUCAAUUAGAUUGUGAUUUUUGUUGCCAGCAGUAUGACAGGGUCUAAAAGCACAGCACUACUACGAAUAAAGAGAAAAUCUGCAGGUGAAUAUUUUAGAAUGAGCUUUGGGGCAGGGGAUAUCAAUUCCAGCUUCAGAAAGGGAUAAAACUUCCUCAUGUUUCACAGCAUGAGCCAAGUUUUUUUUUGUUGUUGUUGUUGUUGUUUUUUUUUUGAUGAAUACUAGAAUGGCAUUUAAACUGCAGCUACUUAAUUCCACACUUACCAUAUGGAUUUCACAUUUCCUCUACGGCAUCUGGCUCUGGCUAGUGCCAGAGAUGGGUUACUGGGUGAGAUGAACACUACCCCUACCCUGUCCCUUCUGUGUGGGAGGGGUGUUUUUAUGUCUUCUGCAUAUUAUCCUUUGGUGUCCUUUGCAUAAAUAGAGAAGUAUUUGCUGCGAGGAACUUCUUAGAAUAAGUCUAGGAUAUUCUUAUGCUUAUGCUGAGGUCGCGUGGUAUCACUGUAAUCACUGUGCUUUUAGCAUGUCAUCAUUUCACAGACUAGCAGUGUGAGCUAUCGUGGUGUUUGUGCAUAUAGCAAUAAAAAGUGAUAUCUUAGAAUAAGGUACACUAUUUAAUUAAUUAUCAUAUGCACUAAAUGCUAAUAUCCAGAAAAAGGGUAGCUGCGUACAACUUCCUUCAGCCUGAAGUUGGAAUGUAACCACGGGUCAGAAACUGAAAAUUCCACUUGCAUUAAAAUUACACUUUGUCAUUAGAAAUGUUUAUAUUUCAUUAAAAAAAAAAUCUUUCAUGUUUCUCUAUUCUUUAGAGAAGAAAUAACUAUUGUAUUUGGUUUGGAAUGGAUGAACAUAAUCUCAAAUCUUUGUUUGCAUCACUGUGCAGCAUACCAUUUUCUCAAAUGAAAGCUCUCAGUAUUUGCAGAGCAGAUGGCAGAAGUGUGUGUGAUUACCUCACUGCUUCUUUGUACUGAGCAGAGAUGGAGGCGAAUUAGGGCCCAUCAGCAGGAGGGGUGUUUGUUUUCUUCCCCAGCAAACCAUCAAAGAAUCCCGGAGCACGUCUUAACUAUUGAGACUGAAAAUUGGGUGAAUUUUGUCUGCCUGAUUCUAGUAAAGACUUGUGUAUUACUUAUAGGGAAAUUCUUUCAGAAAAGUUGCUGGAAACGGUGAGCGCCGUAUAGGAGAUAAUACAGUAACCAAUCUUAGGCCUUUCGUGCACAUGGAAGCUUUAACUGAGUAGAACUGUGAGAAAAAAGCUGUGUUGACCAAAGCCCAGGUACAGAUGAAAUUAUACAAGCAAAAAAAACCCAUUUGCCAAUACUUUCUUUGUUUCCUGUUGAGACAUCUGUAUGAUGCUUUUGCCAAUGCAGCCACUUUCCACGCCAAAUUCCCAGCUUGUGCAGCUCUACCUGCAGCCAAACAUUCGGAACGCAAACAAGGCUAAAGAUGGCUAAUUCGGUAUUAUUUCACGUCUUGGAGCAUGAAAAUUUCAGGUUCCUUACUAUUCCUGUUCUGGGGGGGAAGCUGUACUGCAGGAGUUAGCUCCUGAUUCUGCAGUUUUGUGUUGGGCCUGUGACAUUAAGGCACAGCACCGAUUUCUGUCAGGUCACACAGCCUGAAGCUGAGCGAAGCAACAGUGAGCAUGAAGAAAGGAUGCAGCCAAAGCCACCUCUGUACCAGCAGGAGUCAUACGCAGAGCUAGCUGCUGUGCAAAGCUCAGCAAAGCCACAUUUGGUGUAUGUGAUAUCCGGCUCUGUGCUCCUUGUGAUCCAAGGCCUGGACCCCUGCAGAGGGAUUUCUGGCACAGGAGGUGACAUAAAAUGGUGCCGGCAGCCAUUCUUUGUGUCUACCAAAGGUUAUGGGCAGCUCGACAUUUUCCAGCGUUAAAUGCCAGAAAUCUGUUCACUGGAAAAAUUUAGGCAGUGCUAAUUAAAAAGUGAUAGCUUAAUGCUUCCCAAGACCCUGUUUUGAACUGUGGAGGUAUUAUCUGGCCUGUAGCAACAGCUCUAUCGUCUGUCACAGUUCACUGAGACAGUCAUUUCCAGUGGAAACACAUUGGUUUAGACAAAACUUUGCCAGAAAUGCAAUUUAAAGGGAGAGACGGGGAGGUGAAAAUAAACAAGAACUCAGUGGUAAUUGCUGCUCUUUUAGGAAGCUGAGCACCAGUUCAGGUCUGUAGCGGGACUUGCGCAGAGCAGGGAGGUGCGCCUGCAGCCACGCAUUCUGACCUUACUCCUUCCUACUGGGCUCUUUGUGGUUUUAGGAUGGUUCAUACUUCUCCCUCCAGUUGGUUUGGUUUGUGAGAUUUAUUGGCAAGUUCCUGAUAAGCUACAGGAGUAUUUUUAGUCUUUAGUAACUACUGUGUGCUGCCGUUGCACAGAGACAGCGUCAUUCGCAUGCUUUAUUAGACAUUUGCCUAUUCUCCAGCACUUCUGUGCUGUAAUGGAUAAUUUGGCGAGAUGCAUAACAAAAUUUGUUAGCUGCUUUUUUUGUGUGUGUGUGUGUCAAGCUGGAAGCUCCUGUUUGACAUCCAUUUCUGUGGAAUUAGCCAAGUGGGGCAGCAAACAGAUUUGGUAUUUCUGCUCAUUGUAGCAUGGAAGGCAAAGGUUAUCACCACCACAGGACACAAGGAGGGGCGGGCACUCCUCUGGGCUGUCUCUGGAGCUGUGCUGAUGGUGUCUGGUGAAGCAGAUCUGCUGCAAAUUACAGCAUGUGGUUAUGCAUCAAUUUACGCUCCCGCCUGUUGCCAACAACGUGCUGUGCAUGAAUGGAGCUAACUUGGUAAAUAUGCUCUCUAGUAACUGAAAAUAACCAAGUGCUGUUGAAAGGAAUAAUUAAUCAAUGUUUGCAAAGCAUUUAGAAACUGAAAACCACGGUAUUAGUGCUAAGUGUUCAGGGCUUUAGCUUUCCCAUCAGAAGUCUCAGUUUUUCUCUUUGUUAGUCUUUAACCAAACAAAACAUUAAGAGUGCAAAGUCUUUUUGUCUAAUGUCCCCAGUCAGGUGGUUUUGUGCUCGGCAGUUGUUAAAAUGCAGUAAGUAGACCAGAAGAAACUAUAAAUGGGGUGAAUCAGCUCAUUUCUACUGAUGCUGGCAGAAAUGAGUUGAGUUAUGUUAGCUGGAGAUCAACAGCAGGCUCUGUAACACAAUUUCCUCCACUUGCCUAUUGGGCUCAGCCAGCCAGAACCAGUAACUGGCUUAUUCCCUGCAGCUCCCACCUCUCUGAACCCAGGUGCCAGGGAUGGAUACAACACUGUGUUAGGGCACAGGCUUCCCUGCACAGCGAGGCAGACAAAUUGUAUGGCUCAGAGCUGCUAUCUGAGGCAGCCAGCAUGCUCGAUGAACAGCCCAGUGAUACCCGUGAGCAGAAAUCCCAUUUAUCAGCUGUGCUGUGCAGAGAGGUGGCACUGAUGUCUGACCCCUGGCUCGAGAACUCAGGGGAACAAGGAAGCAUCUGUGUCUUUCCUUCCAAAGUGCCUUGGCUCCCUCACAAACAAGUCUUCAUGAAGCUGCAGUCCCCAGCAGAAUGGUGGUUUUACCUGGGAAGCCAAAAGGGCUGUAAGCUACUCAGCAGGAACCAUUUGGGGGUGAGGUGAGGGAUGAGGUUAUGCACUUAGACGGCCCCAGCCAGUCCCCCAUGCCCAUAUCUCUGUGUGCGCAACUGCUCCCUUCUCUGUUCUGAAGGCUAAUCUGUACCUCCAGACGUUUACAGUCAAUAUUCUUAUCUGCCUAGCGUGGUGUUAAUCUGUAUUUCAGAGAGGGGUGAGUGGGAAGACAGUCUUGUUGAAAACAGGACACUGUGCAGAAGGCAGUUUAAGGCUAAUUGGCUGGAAAAAGCAUUGCACUGGUCCUUCAGAGCAUCUCUUUUUAGGGUUAUCGUAUGACUUUCCAACACAAGCUCCCUUUCUCCAGCCAGGAACUUUGUCAGACUAAGUCUGAUGAUGUUGAGCAUCUGUUCCACGCUCAGGACUAUCCAGCAGCUCACGCUGAGCUUCCAGAUUAAUGUAAAUCCAGACGAUGUGCCCACUUCAGCUGUGCAGUGCACGAGCACUGUGCCCAAGUAUACAUCACAUGAUGUCCCAGAACUGUUCCUAUGAAUGUGUUGAUGUAAAAAUAACUGAUUAUUCAGAUGCUAGUGGAAUUUUCAAGACAAAGAGAGGCCCAUGUGCAUUUUAAGUACUUCCCAAGUAAAACAACAGUUUAGCACAGGUAGGGAAGGAAAAAGGAUUACAUAUUUAGAUUAAGGUAUCUCAAUGUAUUUUUUGGAUCUUGCCUUUUUUGAUCUGCUCAGUGCUGGUCUGACUCAUCUCUUAGGUGUUUCUUCUCACAGGAGAUCAGUGACUUUGCUGCUGCUGGAUUGACUGGCAGAGUAAGGACGGUUACCUGCCAAGCAAAUCCAGUUAUUCAGCCCUUGCUGGUCCUGAAUAGAGCUCUGUGGCCCAUAAAGGGUCACAUUAAUUAAAAUAAGCCAUCAGAACAGCAGACGUGCUGGGUAUUCACCUCCGCACCAGCCCAGGGCAGAGCAUGUUCAGCUCACUUCAGCAGCAGUGCCACAAAAUCUCUUCAUGACGUUUUUGACAGAGUUAAGUAUUACCAAGAUUUUUUAUUAGUUACCUUUGUAAUUAGCCAUUUUAAAUUUGUUUACUGAAAAUGAGAGAAGGGCUGGAAUCCUCACGUGUCUUCCUUGCUCCUGUCUUUGCUUGAGUUCACCACAGAGAGCUUAGUGCAAAAUCCAUAAAGAGCCAAAAAAAUGCAUAUUUGAAAGAACAAUUCAAGCGUACGUAGAAUGUUCCUGGCUACAUGUAAUUGCAGGCAAGUACUGACAUUUCUGCUGCUCUGGACAAAUGUAUUUAUUUAUUACUUUAUUAACCCACCUCUUCUCUUCAGCAUGUGUUUCUUCUUCUCUCAUUUCCUAAUAUUCCCUGAGUAUUAUUUACCUGAUUUGCAUGACAUACAUGACAAUUGCUUGGGUAGAUCAAACCAAUGAUACCACAGUGUUACAAAGAACUAGACGGGGUGUUGUAGUGCUUUUUGGAAGGGCAGAACUUUCCUUUCUUACUGGUAGUAAUUCCUCAAGUCAGCAGUGCUAUGAGAACUGUACUCCUCAAUUCCACAGCCAACACUGAUAUUCUGAGACAAACAUUCACCAUUCUUUGCUGCUCUGAGUAUUCUCUCACCCCAGAGAGGAAUGAUUUUAUUAAUUUAAACAGGAAGAAAUAUGUACAAAAAUGACCCAAAGUCUGAUAUAUACCUGUUGGUAUUGACUAAAUCCUUAUCCUGUGAGGGCAGUGUCAAGGCACCUAUUGAUUGUUCCUGAGUAAAUAUCUUGUUCAAGUGGCACUGUCUGUGAAAUUGAAUUACAUAAAUUUUAAUGCCUACAAUAAAAGUUCAUCAGAACUAGCACAGAAACUUCUCUACUUAACUGGAGGUUGACUCAGUUUAUGAAAUGGAGCGAUUUAUCUCCCAGUGGAUCAUGAUACAGGUAUCCAAAUGAACCAUCAGUAAUAAAUAUGGUAUUUCCUCUGUAGUGAUCUGAACAGUGAAUAAAGACUUAAUUUGCAAGUAUUUUCAGAAACUGGGGGAAAACACAGCGAGUUCCCAAGGGUGCAAGUGGACUCGUUUGUAUUUAUAAGUAAGUCAACAUCAAGCUGAUGUGAUUAAACAGUUACUCUGUCAGUGACUUGGCCCUGUUCUUUUCUCCAUCUGGUAGGCAGGCAGGCAGAUUAAAUUUAUGCUGUGUGUUUAUUUUCUUGAAAUAAAAUGAGUUUUGUUUAUAUUUCGAGGCAGUAUGAUGUGGUAACAAAUGUACCAAAUAUAUUAACUUCAAAAAAAAAAGGAAAAAAAAAAAGAGGAUUUAGACAAAAAAAGAAGACGUGCCUCCCAAGGCACCAUACUUUAUUUAAAGGAAAUGGAAACACACCAUUUUUUUUUUAAAUGCUGAUUUACAGACUUUAAAGAAAAUUAAAUUUAUAGUUUAGCCUCUGAGUUCUGGAACUACCAGUUGUUUCCUGAAAGUGACUUUGUAAUGAGUUUUGGGAAAUCAUUUUAGUAUUGACUUGGGCUGUAAUGGUUGGCUGUUGCUUUUUUGAAUAAGAUUAAUUAAAUUACUCUGAACGAGCUCCAAGUCCAUGCCCUUCUCUGAGGCCAAUUGUGAAUAUGACCAUAAUAAACUCCUAAAAAGUAUUUCAGAAAGUAAAUAAUCUCCAAACCUGCAAGUAUGUCAUUGUGCUCUGGUAAGAAUAACAAACAGCAUUUGCUUCCUUGUUUCAACAUACAUCACUUUGCUUUCGUACCUUGCACUUUCCUCAGUUGUAAGAAGUGAGGGUUAUUUGCUUGAUUAAUUUUCUGUACAACAGGAGGAGAUAAUUUUGACUGCAUCUUAAAGAAAGAACCAGAUAAGAAGUAAGUGCAUAGGCACAAAUAAGAGCUGGAAGUUGUAUUUCUGAUUUCAACUCUGAAAUGUAGGACUCCUCUUAGUUAUUCAUACUUCGGUAAGCUCAAAUAAAAUAAGGACCACAUUAUAUCAGGCUCUAUAAAAACAUACGGAAGUGAAUGCUCUUAAUUUAUAGAAGCUUUGAAAAUCAAUGCCAAAUAUGCAGAGAUUCCAUAAACAGAGAGGUGAAAGGAUUUAUCCAAAGUUCCUUUAUGUGCCUGGGCUGAUGACAGUUGACACCAGGUCUUCAGAGCGCCAUGCCAGCGUCCGGUCCAGCGAGCACUGCUGCUGCUUGGUAAGCUGGACUGAGAUAUCUCCCCAGAUGCUGCUCUGAUUUUCCACAGAAAUGGUAAGUACUUGGAAAAAGAAGAUUAAAAAAAAGUAAAACAUACCCCAAGGGAAGCCACCAAAAAAUGAUGGGUGUAUGUCUCCCAUAGAACCAUGGGCAAGGUAGACAACAAGAACUGGUGAAAGAAUAGAAGCAAAAGGAAAGAAAACAGUAGAAGUUUGUGGAGUAAUUUAGUAUGAGCAGCUGCACAAAGUAUCUUAACAGCGACAGACCAUCUGCAGUCCCAGUACAGAGAAAGAUCAACAGCUUGUGUGGUAUGAGCUUCCAAAGGAGAGUCUGCUGCACUUCUCAAAUCUCCUGUGAGUUCUCUGAGAUGGAGUAGGUGAGCUGGGAGCACAGCACUCCUGAGAAAAUUUGGUUCUGUAAGGAUGGAGGUUGCUAGGGAGCAAAGCCCUCUUAUGCCAUAAGGAAGGAUUUCUGUUUCCUUGGCAUUACUUUCCUUGCUAGGAAGUCCUGCUCUCAUUCUUUAGGCCAAAAGAUCUGGGCAAGGCUGGUUUGAUGGGCAGAUGAGGGUGGCUGGCAAAGGCUGUGAAUUUUUCUUCUUCCUUGUUCUUAAGUGUCCUUAACCCGUGCUGACAAGAGUAAUAUAGAGACCUGGAGGUCUUAAAUAAACAGGAAUCUUGCAGGGUACAGGUUAAACUAACACUGACAGAGCCAGUAGCUGCAACAAUUUGUAAUUAUAUCCAUGAUCCCAGUGCUCUCUUUCUCAAGGCAAAAAGAUUUGGGUACCAACUUAUGGAGUGAAAUGUCAGUGUUCCCUGCAUUCCCUGCUCCACUGGUGUUCCUCUUUAGGUCUUUAGAAAGAGAACUACUUUGCUCCUAAAACUGAUUAAAGCAUGAAGGAUGAUCUGGUUGAGUGAAUGUGGUAAGAAAUGGCAACCUGUGUCAAAGUUUUUUGCUCUUAUUUAAUUUAUAUAUUUGUGAUGUUUUUCUACCUUUGGUAGAGAUAAAAGAUUUAUAUUUCAAUGCCUCAAAUUUGAGCUCUAAUACUAUUUUUUACCUUCUACUUUUCUUUUUUUCUCUUUAAUUUCUGGUAUCGUUGAGCUUUGGAAAAGAAGAAAUGUUCUCCUGGUAUAUGUACUGGUUUACUAUGUAUUAAUUUGAUUACAUUACUGAUCAACUGAAUUUACUGCUAGUCCACAAACAUGGUGGAUAUGAAUGCUUGCUUCUCACUGGUUUUCUUGAUGGAAUUUUAACCGUGUUUUGCUACAAAUGGAAUCUCAGUUAAAGGAGUAAUUAGUACUUCUGUCUGUUGAAAAUAAUAUUUUAAAUAGCUGUAGUUAAUCCUAAGAAUUGGAGAAUACUCCUUCAUGUAUUAACGUGUUAUUUUAUAUGUUUAUAUAUAUAUAUAUAUAUGUUAUAUAUACCUAUUUUAUAUGUUAUACAUAUUAUAUAUGUUAUAAUAGCUAAAAUCACAUUAUUCUCCAAUAAUCCCUGCUUGGUGGGAUGGCAUUCAAGCUCUGAGUGGUGCUGACACCUCUUACACCUCUAAGAAUGGAAAACAAAGCAGUCACUUGAGCUCUUUAUUUAUCAGCCAGUAUCUCACUGCAUGUAAUUUGUCUGGUUUUUUAGCAAAGGAAGUAGGACUGCACUCUACCUGAAAAGCUGAUGUCCUAAAUGACUGAUGUAGAAGCAGGUAAGCAUAAAAGAAUACUGGAUACAGGACCCCAAACCUCCAGUAGACCAAGAGAAAGAAGUUUAAACCCUUGCAAAUACUGGGCCAAAUACAGCCAUAUCACAGGCUAAGUCAAGUCUACACAUGCCAUUGGACACAGCUAAGAAGAAAAUGAGCUUCAGCCACUGUGCCUUUCCUCCGUUCUCUGAAAGGGCAGAGGUUCUGGCAGACAGAACUUUUAGCAGAUUCAAGAGGGCGAAUUUGACAACAAUUCACAGUGAGUAGACGCACAUUAAAGCAAAGGAAAUUUGUUUGCUUUAGGUAAAGAGUGGACAGUUUCACUGCUAGUGCUGAGGACAAGUUGUAUUCAGAAAACAGCCUCGUUUCCUUUGCCUUGUGUCUUGUGCAGAGGCUGCUUGCUGUACAUGGACUGUGAAGUUUAUGGCUAUGGGGAUUUUAGAACUAGAAGCAUCUCUGACAACCCAGUUGCAUUGUUUUUUUCUCUAUUUUAACAGCAGAUCUUUUUCAGUAGGCGGUGUGAAAAGAAUUGUUUUCAAUUAUUCUUGGCUACAUUUUUUCCCACAGAUUCUGACUUAAUUAGACUCAUUAACAAGACCAAGCAACAUAUUGUCUGUGGGAAAAGAUUUCAGAUGAGAGAAGACUGUUAUACCAUUUUAUUCAAAUCCUUCUGCCAGGAAAAAGCAACUUGACCAAAACAGGGAGGCUUCCAAGAAGUGGCUGCAUUGCUCCUGAAGCUGUUUUUGGAGAGAACAGGGUUUAUUUUUGCCAAAAAAAUGUAACUGUUUUUGUUGAAAAUAUCUGCUUUGCUUUCUAAAAUGUACUUUGUCCACAAAUAUUGCUAUCGGUAGGUCAACUCACAGUGAUCCCACCAGGAAAGACAGAUGCUUCAAGAUUAAUUCUUCAGAUGUAUUUUUUUGCUUAGUGGGGACCCAUAUGGAUGUAGAGACAGUGCACUGGGCGGUAUCCUUUCCUCAGCGCCUGUGCCUGCUAUGGGAGGCCACCCAGCUCUGUCACAGUGGGGAGAAGACAGAAAAGCAAAAAGAACAGAGGAGAGGAAAAAGGAUAGAUAUAGAAAAUUAAUGCUCGGGAGAGGGAUUGCUAGUUCUUUAGGGGAUUUCCAGCACACAGUCUAUGGAAAAUUUUUAUCCACAUCCAAACUGGUCAGAAAUUUCUUUCAGGAUCUGCCAUCACUAACCCUGAGGCAGCUGGCAGCUGCAGCACUCUUCAGGCUGCACCAGAGAUAAGGAACCCAAACUACACAUGGACCCUUAAGUGGAGGAAGGAGGGACUUGCAGAGGGCUCCCAGACAGCAGAAUACAGAGGACAGUAGCAAACUUCAUGUACCAAUGGGCAGUGACUGUUGGUGCCCAUCCAGUUCUUUGGAUGUAUUAUACAUGGAACUGCUGUUAACAUAUAAGCAGCCACUGCUAAAUUAUAACCUUAAAGACGAUGGGAUUUCACCAGUGUCAGCAUCUGUUGUUCAUAAAGGAAUUGGGAAAUGGCCCAGCGUCACAUCCAGCUCUGAUCAUGAACAAAUACACUUUGACUUGGACAUGACCUGAUAUUCAAACUAGCAGUAGAUGGAAAAGAAGACAAACAGUUUUUUCAUGAGUUUCAAACACACCUUAAGCAGCUCCGGGACCUUCCAUCAAGAUAACUUGAUAAACCUUGUAUGUUUACCUACCUUGACAGUUGUUCAGAUGUCAUGCUAUUUUGGUUUUAGAUUAUUUAAACUAAUGCCUGCUGUCCCACAAGAUACAGGUGAUUGCAAAGGCAGAAAGGUCACCUAAUGAAGCCUGAACUGACCUAGGAAUAUGGGCUUGGCUCCAUUCCCUGCAGUAAAACUUCAGUGCAGAAGAUCAAAUGUGAGAUUCACCUACCUCUGAGCAUAGACGUGUUCCAGGACAAAGUUUGGCAUGCAGGCCCUUCUACUCAGGCAGAACAGUACACGACAAAUGUAGCACUGCACAGUGACAUCCAAGCAGCAUGCCACAAGAUGCAGGAGACAUUGUGCUCACAGACUCUCGUCCUGGUGAGGGACUUCAACCAUCCAGAUAUCUGAUGGAGAGACCACACAGCGAGUUCCAAGAGGUCCAGGAGGCUCCUGGAAUCCAUUGAUGAUAACUUUCUGGUUCAGGUAUUGGACAGACCAACCAGGAGUGAAGUGUUGCUGGACCUGCUGCUCACCAAUGCAGAGAUGAUCAUUACAGGUGUUAAGGUGGGAGGCAGCCUGGGCUGCAGUGACCAUGCUGUGGCCGAGUUCAUGAUCUCGAGGAAUGCGGGCCUGGCAAACAGUGGGGUCAGGACCCUGAACUUCAGAAGAGCGAACUUUAAGCUGCUGAAGGAAUUUUUGGCCAAGAUCCCACUCUACUGGGUCCCUUCCAACUCAGGCCAUUCUGUGACUCUGUGAAAAAAAAUAAUAACUUUUUUUUUCUUUCCUCAAAGCAAGCUUCUACUUAAAAAAACUGCAUGCCCAGUUAUGUAAAAGUGAGAGAAAGUCUCAGGGCCCUGCAGAUACCAUGUUGAGAACUGUUGAGUCAUGGCCUGAACCACUCAUUGAGCACCUGGGGAAAGGACCUGGUCAGCCCUGGGAGCACAGGUGAAGGCAAUUCAUCUGUGCAACCAGAAGGGGUGGAGCCUGGCUGCACCUCUCUUAGACCUCAUUUAAGGGCUGACUGCCACUGGGGAAGGAUCUCUGGUUGGAGAUGCCUCCCUUGUGGUGUUUUCCCUGUGAGCCUGGAUCAUCAGAGAUGGGUGAGUGUUUUUCCUUUCCUAUCAUGCUACUCUCUUUGUCAUUAAACCUCCUGUAUCACCAUUCCACCACGCUGAUCUUUCUGAUUGUUACACUGUGGAAAGAGGCUCUCCUUACAGCCACUGGAUCCAGCCUGGCAGGGCAGAGCUCCUCCAGCAUCACCAGUGUGUGUGGAUAGAAAAACCUGGGCAGGAGAGACGCGCCUUUGUUUGAUGCCUCACUGUUGUAUUUGGCCAGUCUAAUUCACAGUAACCUAUCUGACUGGUAGGGCCAGAGGUGUGAACUGCAGCAAAAGCUGCUUCUAUUGGAGAGGUAAAAAGCUAAUCCUAGCCCAAACCUCUGUUCCUGUGAUGAGCCAUGAACACCUGCUCAGCAGCAAGUGAACUCCUACAAAGUUCACUGAUUUCUCCAGGCUUUGGCGUGCAUUUCUGUAGCUGAUAAGCAGAAAUUUUCUCUCUAGAUGUUUGCCUGUUCAAACCACAAAGACACGGCAAGGUGAAAAGCUAUAGUUUCAAUUACUUUUUUUAAAUUGCACAUGUGUAAGAGAGGGAGCAAAUAAAAUAGACAGAACUGUUGCUAUUCGGAAGGCACCCUGAGAACCAGGAAGUUGCUGUAAGAUGAAAUGCGACAGGGAUUCCCUGGAGGGCCCUACAGGAGGCUGGAAGGAGGGGAUUGGUUUUUUACCCACCACAUCCGAAACUGAGAAUCUCAGGCAGCAAAGGAACGGCGUUUGCUUAAAAACAGGUAAAUCAUUUAUUCUCAGUUCAUCUAAGAAAGGAACUAGAGAACUAUUUAGAGUACAGAGGAACAUAUAGUACUUGCUUACCUAACGAAAAGGUGUGAAAUGUGAGAGGUGAAAUUGUUAGAGAAGCUUAUAUCAUACUGCAGCCUUUUGCUGUCUUGUUAAUACCUGCUACAGUUGUACAAUGCAUUUAUGAAUAGAUGCUUGAAUUCAGAUAUCCUGCUAGUCAGUUUUUCUUACCAGAAAACACACACCUCAGAAAACAUUCAUCUAUGUGACAGGUAGCAUUUCACCCAUAUAAGAUGUUCAUGUUAUUUAGCUAACAGUACUGUAGGUGGAAUUACAGUACGGAUUCAUUACAGGUACACCCAUACAUGUGAUGCAACAUUUGGUCUAACAGUGGUCAACCCAGGGGAAGAAUAAGACCAAAGCCCAACUUGAGAAGUGGUGUCCUGGCACGGAGGUCUCAGGAACCUCUGCUCUGAGCCUCAAGCUGGAUGGCCUCUCGCGAUCCUCUCUCCCUCUGAGCUUGGAAAACGAGACGUGGAACAGAAUCUCCUGCUGUUUUGGUCUUAUAAUGAGAUGGGAAGCAGUUCUUGCUUAACAUCAGAAACAAUAUUUAGUGACUUCUACAAAUGUACCUGAUAUAUACAUGCUAAUGCUUCAUAGGACUGAUUCCAAGUGACCUUGGCAACCUUUUGUUCAGCUGAUAGUUUAAGUAAUGUUUUUGCUUAGUUGCUGUUUUGCUUAAGACCUUAAUUCUUGCAAGAAACAACUUUGUGCUGCACCAUUCCCACGUGGAUGGAGAAAUGCAUGAAUUUUUCUUAACAUGACUUGACAGUGAAUUUAUUUCAUUGUGUCUGUUUUGACCUGAGCAACUAUUUUUAUUUCCUGUCCAUCUGAGUUACUACUUGAUUUGCUGAAAGCUAAGGAACCAGAGCUGUGAGAUUAAGAUUUCAAAAAUACAUGCUUUUGGAGAAGUUAUUUGGCUGAAACAAAUGCCCUGUGUUGGUCUGUCAGAGCCACGUGUCCUGUCCCUCUGAGCUAAGCUGUAUCGGAAGGCAAGACAGUCACUGCUGAAUGCCGCUUCAUUGAAAGUACAAGUAUUUUAAAAGUAUCCAGUACUUCAAAUGGAAUUUCUAAUGCUCAAUACUUUGAGUUAAUAAAAAAAAACUUCUAAAAACUUUUGUUUUUCUUUGCUUUUCUUUUUCUUUUUUUCCUCUAAGCUUUUUCCUUUCCUUCAGCAGUUUGUUAAAAUGAUAUAGUAGUUCCUCAGAGCUUGACUGACUUCCGUGGGUUCCUGGCAAUGGAAUCACUUGAGCUUCUAGACUUGUAAUUUAGAGCAUGAAAAGAGCCACAUCAGGGCUGGUCAACACCAUUAGCCACUCUCCAGUAGUGACAAAUAGCAUAUCCUGGGGAAAAAUGUAAGAAUGAGACUUGGAGACCGAGGCAGAGAUUAUAUCUUCAAAGUCCAUGAUGGAUUCUUUUUUUCUCCCACCAGAUCAGCUGCUGGCCUUUUUACUUCAGAAGCAUUCCUGGCUCAUAGCCAUAAAUUUGACUAGCUGUCUAACUAAUGAGUUUACCUAGAGUUUAAUUGGAUGUUGGAGAAUUUCUCCUGAUUUGAAUCUGUCAGUCCAUUUUUGUCCCCUGUUUCUUACAGCAUAAGAAAUGAUGAACAAUUUUUCUCUAUUAAAACCUUCAUUUUAUGAUUGCACACACCUCUGCCAUAGCAACUUCAGGCAUCUCUUUUCCAAGGCAUUGCUCUAUUUUUUUUUUCUCAGUGAGGAAGUUAUUCAGUGUGUUUGCUCAUCCUUCUCCCUGACUUGUGUUCUUUUGUGUCUCAAGACAAAUACAGAUCUCAAUAAGUACUACCCGGGGAUCCCUUAGCUUCUUUGAACUGCAGUCAUUUUCUUAGUAGUGCUGUGUAAAAAUGACAUAUGUGAAAUACAGGGGAAUUUGCUGGAGACUUCCAAUGCUGAAGAUUAAGUAAAUAUGAUUUUACUCUACAUACAAAAUCUACUGAUGAGGAAGUUAAGUUCUCAUCAGCAGCAGUUACAGUAACUGGCUUGUCUGCUUUCCUCACGCAGGGGAUAAUUCUGACACAGAGAAUUUACUUGUUGGUAUCUUUUUUUUUCUAUGACAG
ensembl:lncRNA